GAACUGAUGCCUUGAAAGGUGGAAUGAUGGGGUAACGCCCUGAAACGCCUUCCCUGAUACUCCGGCAGGCGAUGGAUAGUGUUAUCUGUUCAUGGUCUGAAGCCCGGUGAAGCCGGCUGAGAGGAUGCCCUAACGUGUAAUGACGAGGAACGGCGAGCCAGAGGUGGCCGAGCAUCUGAUAGGCCGGGGGUCUAUAAA
rnacentral:ncRNA from 1 species